rnacentral:lncRNA from 1 species
AUUAAAAUUAUCCUCAUCUCUUAUGGCUUUUUUUCUAUCUCUCUUUUUUUGCACAAACUGUGCUUACCCUUACUUUGUGUACAAACAAGGGUGAUACCCAGCAAUCUGAUAAGCCCUUAAGAUAUUUAUUUUAAUAAACUGACUUUUCACUUCUGAAGAUUGGAGAGUCAUCUGAGGGCUGAGAAAACCUUAACAGAUUAAAAGGAGCUUAGAAAUGUUUCAGUUUGGAUUCAUUAAAUACUUUACAUGUAUGAAAGACUCCUCUGCUGGUUUUUCCAUUAGCACCGACACAACAAGCUGUAUUCUGGAGCUGCUUUUUAUCAGGAAUGCUUCUGGUGUUACAAACAUCCAUCUCAGCAGUGUGACGAUAAGUGAUCUCUGCCACAUGGCCUACUUCCAUUCCUAGUGCACAUCAAGGUGGGCUCCAUGAUGCAUGUGAGGUCUCAUUAUAGCAGGGUAGAAGGGCAGAAUCACCUCCCUUGACCUUGUGACCAUGCUUCUUUUGAUGCAGCCCAGGAUACGGUUGGCUUUCUGGGCACAUUGCUGGCUUGUGUCCAGCUUGUCAUCCACCAGUACCCCCAAGUCCAUUUUGGCAGGUCUACAGAGGGUCUCACACGAAGGGAGAGGGUGAGGGUUGAAGAGGAAAAGCAGGCAAAAUUACUUUCUGAUAGCUGCCUCUCCCAGGUGGAAUUGGAUUAAAUCACUUGUGAAUAUUUCAUAGUUAGCAGCUGAAAGGCAUCUAGGAAAACAAUUAAAGUCAAUUAGCAGAAGAUCUGAGCAUUCUGCUUCUCAGUUUGCUAAAACAAGCCAUUAGUUGUACUAAUGUUUUAUGGGAGGAAAGAAAAACAAUAUGCUUCUUCCUACUGGUAAUAGGAAGGAAAUUCAGCUACAAUUUUGUCAGCAUCACUGGUAAUUACAGAGUGUUUUUCUGUCAGGCUGGUUUACCUUCUCUUGGUGCAGAGUUCUUCUCAUCCAAAGGCAGAAAAAGGCUUCCACAACCCCCUGUGUUAUGCGGGACUUCAGCCUACUCUGGAUGUGAUAUGUGGUUUAAGAAACCAAAGCAGACAGGCAUGCCUGAGCCCUGCCAAAUCAUGCAAACAAAGGAAAAGAUUGCUUGCUUUCCUCUCCCCUUUCCCUCUGGAGAUCGCAGUGCACCAGGAUAAAAAC